GGAUCUGAUGGUCGAGAGCUUGGCUCCUCCUAACAAGACGAUUCGGGUACAUCCCUAGACCAUUCAGCAGCACUGUACUUUAAAGGGUGUCUGUCUGGCAGUCCACUCCUGCUUCUGAUGCCAAUUGGUUCCUGCACAAAUGUUACCAUCCAGCAAUAAAGCAGGAUCCACCAAGGCUCUUCACUCUUCAGGGGUACCGCUGUGGUCCGGCAGUACUUGUUGUUCCCAGAAGAGUGAGCUUGCUGUUCCGUCAGUCCAGAAAUCCCUCCACCGCUGUCGCAAGAUUUGAAGGGAAGCUCGUUCUUCAAGAUACAGAUUAACUUUUAUUGUCAUUCAAACUAUACGCAGGACAAGUGCACAGUAGAAAAAAAAUGAUGUCACAAAAUGUAAUUGAAACAUAUUAUAAGAACUGACAAAGAAUAAAAAGUUUAUUAUAUAUUUACUGUAUAUUGUUUAACAGUUUUACUUGCUGUCCAGUUACUGUCUUUAGCCUUUAGUGUAAGUGUCUUUAGCUGUGCACUUACAUGUAUAGUGAGGGCAGAAAAGAGUGCAUAUGUUUCAUAUAUUUAUGUGUGAGCAUGCAUGUCCUCUGCGCCCUGUGUUUCAUAAAGUGAGUUUGUACGCUUGUCAGCAGCCACGUUUUAAUGACACUACACAGAGGAUCAAAUAUUCAUUAU